UACGAAGGGUGCAAACGUUGCUCGGCAUUAUUGGGCGUAAAGCGCACGUAGGCGGCUUGGCAAGUCGGAUGUGAAAUCCCUCGGCUCAACCGAGGAAGUGCAUCCGAAACUGCUGAGCUUGAGUACUUAAGAGGAUCGCGGAAUUCCCGGUGUAGAGGUGAAAUUCGUAGAUAUCGGGAGGAACACCAGUGGCGAAGGCGGCGAUCUGGGAAGAUACUGACGCUGAGGUGCGAAAGCGUGGGGAGCAAACAGG
rnacentral:rRNA from 1 species